UCAGUGGUGUUUCAGUGGUAGAAUCCUCGCCUCCCAGGUGGGAGACCCAGGUUCAUUUCCUGGCAAAUGGA
rnacentral:tRNA from 1 species